GAACUCAGGAAAAUUCUCACGAUUCUGGUUAUUGGGAGGAAAUGUUGUCUCUAUCUAAGUGCAGUUUCCCCUCAACACUAUAAUAUUCUCCCCAGGAAAGAGGGCCUCCUGUUUCUUUUCAAAUGUUGGGGGCUUGCCAGGCCAACAGGUGUCUCCUGGGAUCCUCUGAAACGGUAUGUAUCACUGAUUCUCAAAAGAGGAAAAUUAAGGAGUGUCAAAAAGAGAACGAGAGAGAAGCAGGAUGCUCUGGAGAAUGAAAUGGACUCUAAACAUCUGUGUAUCAAGAUCAUGCUCACAGCCACUGGUGUGCAGAUAAAUGUUUAAUAACUGACUCUCUGAAAAAAUCCGUAUAUGCAUACAUUUAUGAUAAUUUUUUACUGACAUAGAGGAUGUGUAGUACACAAUUUACGAAUGGUAAUAAAAAUAUACAAUACUCUUUACUGUAAAGCCUAUGUAGUCUGUUUCCAGAGAAUGCUUUUGUUGAGUUUUGCCAAUCUAUGGUUACGAUUCAAUCACAAUUUGACAAAUUGAGUUGCAUUCCAAUCCAACAACUCUUUUUUUUUUUGAGACGGAAUUUUGCUCUUGUCACCCAGGCUGGAGUGCAAUGGCACAAUCUCGGCUCACCGCAACCUCCGCCUCCCGGGUUCAAGCGAUUCUCCUGCCUCAGCCUCCCGAGUAGCUGGGAUUACAGACAUGUGCCACUAGGCCUGGCUAAUUUUGUAUUUUUAGUAGAGACGGGGUUUCUCCAUGUUGGUCAGGCUGGUCUCGAACUCCCGACCUCAGGUGAUCCGCCUGCCUUAGUCUCCCAAAGUGCUGGGAUUACAGGCGUGAACCACCGUGUCCGGCCCAUCAACUCUUUACCCAAUCAAUCUGGUGUUAUUAAAUCUGAUAUGUGACUGAUAUUUGAUCUAUGAUAACACUAUUUCUUACCAUCAUACAAAUUUCAUUCAAUGAACUGUAACCUCUUUCAGCUUCAAUAACCGGCCCAACAACUCUUUACCCAAUCAAUUUGGUGUUAUUAAAUCUGAUACGUGACUGAUAACUGAUC
rnacentral:lncRNA from 1 species